rnacentral:tRNA from 1 species
AAAAUCCGUCGAAUUGAAAAAUCGGGGGGGUUCAAGUCCCUUUUUCCCCA